rnacentral:lncRNA from 13 species
GGAAAGACUCCCCUAGAAGCAGGGAUUGUGCAGACCCAUCUCCACAUGCCUUGGGCAGCGCUGCUUCGGAAGCUUUCCUUGCUGUCAGUGCUGGAGUAGGAAAGCUGGUAAGCUGUGAGGAAAUAGGGCAUGUCUGAAACUGAGGAAUUCCACGGGAAAUUUACAAUAUUAUGUUAAAGGGGAAAAAAAAAAGCCAAGAGGGAGGAAGAAAAACCUGAUACAAUGAAUGCUUGGGUCAUGUAUUUUUCUGGAUUAGCUGUGCCACGGAAGGAGCCCAUAGACCCUAUGAAAUCCAUUCCCUGCAAGCCAGCGAACAUUUGUACAGCACAUGAUGUGGGAUCAUGGCUGAAGCCAAGUUCCCCAGGAUCAUAUCCACCCGGGAUAGAUUGGGUCAUUUCCAGUGUCAACAGCCAGAGGAUUAAGCAUUUAUCUCUGCAGAACAGGAUAAUUAAUACCAGAUCGAACUCGGGGCUGUGCUCUGAGCCCGUGGCUGAAUUUGUGCCCGAGUUGUGGGGAGUGGGAGGAUGUCCUGGGUGCUGCAAGAUGCAGGCAUUGCCUCGAGAUCCACGGGAAUGGCACUGGGAUGGCAUCAGGCUUCCCAGGUGAAGCUGAGGGGGAGCUCUGCUGUCGUGGCCACACGAGGGUCUCCUCUUCCUGCACCACACUGGACUCUUCUGUCAUGCAUCAACUUCAGGGCUGUUGCACAGGAGCGAAGGAGAACAGACUCCAGCCACGAAUUUCCCCAGGGCUUUGUCCCAUCUGGUUUGGAAUGCACUCCCUGAGAGGGCUUUCUCCAGCCCUCCUGGGAUCAUGUACCACGGCCUGCUGCAGCUCUGAUGGAAACAGUGCCUCUGUUCCGUGGCAGCCCCAUUCUUAUUCCAAAGCCCCUUUUCCCAGCUUCUCCUCUCCCAGGACAAGUCUGUCACUUGCUGGAUGCCUGUACCGGGGGAGAAGAGCCCAUUUGCCAAGAGCUCCGAGUGAAACACUUACAGGACCUUCUUCUGGAGUAUUCGGUUCUGUUAAACCAGGAGAGAACGGGCUUUUUGCCAUCCCUUCAUAAAUAAAUAAACUUGAGAAGCGUUGAAAUAAUUAAUCAUGGCUGUGCAUGAGGUGCUGGGCAAAGCUGGAAUGCUGGGAAAGGGAUGGGAUUUUGGGCAACGGCUUCUCCUUGUCAGGUUCCCCACCUGUGACUUCCACAGAGUCUCCUCCGAUCAGUCCCAGCCUCCGCCUGACAAGCAGGAAUCUGAAACGGAACAGCCUGUUCUGGAGGGCUCGCGGGGGUCUCUGCUGCAUAGCUCCACGCAGCUGUUAAUCACCAAAUAUCUCUGGCUCCCAGCAGCUGUCCGGUGUUUAUCUUUGCCUGGCUAUCUCCAGGCCCAGCCCGCCGAGAGCAGGCUGUGCAGCCAAGCCAAAUACGAAGGGAACACGGAUCAUUUGCACACAGGGAUGUGCGCGUGGGGCUGUGCGUGUGCGCGCACGGGCUGGGGCUGCGUCCCCCUGGAGGUGCCCGCCAGUGGUCUGUGUUAGUGAAAAGUGCUGUUCCUGGAGGUGCGGUGAGUGGAGGUGUGUGAGAAGUGAGAGCACUCAGGGAAGUGCUCUCGCUCAGUAAUUCCCUGAGUUCUCGCUAAGCCUUGUGAAGCUUUUGAGAUAAAGUGGAAAAAUACAGAUCUUCCCAAAUCUUCCAGCAUCAGUCACAGAGAGGCUUUAAAGUGCAUCUCAAAGGCAGUGCCCUGGGCCAUCCCUUUGGGAAAAGAGAAGGAGGAGGAGGAAGAAGAGAAG